rnacentral:rRNA from 1 species
AGUAACAGUCAGAAAUAGGCUGCUAAUACCGCAUAAGCGCACAGAGCUGCAUGGCUCAGUGUGAAAAACUCCGGUGGUAUAAGAUGGACCCGCGUUGGAUUAGCUUGUUGGUGGGGUAACGGCCCACCAAGGCGACGAUCCAUAGCCGGCCUGAGAGGGUGAACGGCCACAUUGGGACUGAGACACGGCCCAGACUCCUACGGGAGGCAGCAUG